GACGGAAAGACCCCGUGAACCUUUACUAUAGCUUGACACUGAACAUUGAGCCUUGAUGUGUAGGAUAGGUGGGAGGCUUUGAAGUGUGGACGCCAGUCUGCAUGGAGCCGACCUUGAAAUACCACCCUUUAAUGUUUGAUGUUCUAACGUUGGCCCCUAAUCGGGGUUGCGGACAGUGUCUGGUGGGUAGUUUGACUGGGGCGGUCUCCUCCUAAAGAGUAACGGAGGAGCACGAAGGUUGGCUAAUCCUGGUCGGACAUCAGGAGGUUAGUGCAAUGGCAUAAGCCAGCUUGACUGCGAGCGUGACGGCGCGAGCAGGUGCGAAAGCAGGUCAUAGUGAUCCGGUGGUUCUGAAUGGAAGGGCCAUCGCUCAACGGAUAAAAGGUACUCCGGGGAUAACAGGCUGAUACCGCCCAAGAGUUCAUAUCGACGGCGGUGUUUGGCACCUCGAUGUCGGCUCAUCACAUCCUGGGGCUGAAGUAGGUCCCAAGGGUAUGGCUGUUCGCCAUUUAAAGUGGUACGCGAGCUGGGUUUAGAACGUCGUGAGACAGUUCGGUCCCUAUCUGCCGUGGGCGCUGGAGAACUGAGGGGGGCUGCUCCUAGUACGAGAGGACCGGAGUGGACGCAUCACUGGUGUUCGGGUUGUCAUGCCAAUGGCACUGCCCGGUAGCUAAAUGCGGAAGAGAUAAGUGCUGAAAGCAUCUAAGCACGAAACUUGCC
rnacentral:rRNA from 1 species